ACCCAGCUGAUGAGUCCCGGAUAGGACGAAACACUGGUCCUGGAU
rnacentral:hammerhead_ribozyme from 1 species